rnacentral:lncRNA from 10 species
GGGGGGUGAUCCAGAAACUACCCCGGCAGGGAGUGGGGGAGCAGCGGAUAUUCCGGGGUAGGAACGGCCAUCGCAACGCUGACAGAGGUUGUUUUUUAAGAAGCAAAACUGUUGGCGGCGACCUGAGCGCUGGAAGCCGAAGGGGAAGAGGAAGGAGACGCGAAGCCAGGGCGGCCGGCACAAAGGCGGCGGACUCGCGGCGGCAGCGCCUGCCCGGCCGGGAGCACAACCCACGGCCCUACUCCAGCGAAGUCCCGCACCGGCUUCUAGGAAUAAAGUUUACGUUCUCCUGAGGCCGCACCCCCCACCUCCCACCCAGGACGGCACAUCUCCGUGUCCUCCUCCCCCAAACUCCACUCGGGACCCCGAGAACCACCCCAGCCUUCCGGCCACCACAACAAAGAGCCGCACCGACCGGCGAGGAUAAACAGCGGCGGAGGGCGAGAGGGCGGCGGGGCGAGCGCCUCCACGCAGCAACUCCGGAGUCCCCCGCUUGCCCGAGCGCAGUUUCUCCGCUGCUGUUUCCACCGGCUUUGUAACACUGGGAAUUUACAUCCUCACCCGCACCCCUCACGCCCGAGGAUUUUAAACUCACCUUUACUCUCGAACUGAGAGUUGCGGUAGAUGGGAUUUUUGCCUUUUCCCCAGAUGGUUGAAGGUUAAGAUUUUUGGAAACCCCACCACCUCCUUAUUUCUAUUAUUAUUUCUGCAAGAAAAGUAUAAAGAGAGUUGUAGUGGAGGUGAGAUUUGUGAUCGGGAAAGCCUUCGACUCCCUCCUUCUCCGUCUUCCGCCUCUCUCUCUCUGAUUAGUUCCUAUCCAGCAGCAGAUUGAAGCAGGAGAUGAUUCUUCUCAAGGUUUGUUCAGCAGCUUCACUUCUAGGCGAAGGCUUCAUGAACCAAGUGACGUCAACCAACAAGGCUUCUCUCUCUCUCCUCUCUCUAACAAUGAAAGUUGCUGUUAACAAGGGAAAAAAAGAGAGAGAAUUGUUUAUACCAUUUCAGUUCCAAUAAUAAAUGACCUAUCAGCUCCUAAAGGAGCCAAGGGAGGGGGUUGCUUCUUCUUUCCAAGAAUACUGUAGCUUUGAGUUUGCACCGUUCCUUGUCCCAGGAAAAAGUUAAGAAACUUAAAAUGUUUUGUUUUGCUUUUAAAGAAGACAGGACAGAAAACGGGAUUUAAAACUUAGUUUUUAAAAAAACAAAAGCUACAGAGUAGGGAGCAUAGGUCAACCAUCUCCACCUAAAUUUUUUUUGUUCCUAAACUCAGAAUUCUACAACCCAACUAAAUUAAUAUGCCAAGAUUUUGCGGAUGUUAAAACUCAAAAAAAGCAGUAUGCAAGACGGUCCCGGGGUAAAAUUCUACUGCCUUUCCACGGACAAGUUAAACUGGCUGUAAUGUUUAUGCACUAAGUUAAAAUAAAAUUUAAAUAAAAGACGUUAAAAUA